GAAGACAUUGAGGUUUUGUAUUAUUUAGAAUUAGGGUUGUGAUUUUCCGCUCUGACGAAACGGACUGGUCCAGGAGCGACGAUUCUUGGAGGAGCAACGACACAGUGAGAACCCUUUGCCCAGAUUCGUGCGAUUCAUCACAAAACCCUUAGCCAUUCGAUCACUGCAGUGGACGACGCUAUACCGGGGUUGCGAUUUGCCUGCUCCGACGAGACGCACUGGUCUAGGAGCGAAGGUCCUUUAAAUCUCCAAGAGCGACGAUUUAGUGGAGGGUGAUAAAUUACAUUAUAAAUCUGAAAAGCCUUUCCAACGCUGACAGUAACGAAAGUUUCAGUGCCGAGUCUCUGAACAGAGAAAGGGACGCUGCUUGUGAUGCAUCCGAUUGCUCUGUAAGCUUGACAGGCUCUAGUAAAGUUGUGGUUUGUAACAUUCAUGUGCUAUACAAUCCUAACAGGGGAGAAAUUAAGCUUGGCCAGGUGUGCACUGCCUGUUUCGCAUAACAUUUUCCCAUUUUGAUAAGCCAUUUAUGCCUCUGAUACUGUUCUGUUUUGGAUAUAUCACUGUCUAAUGUUA